rfam:Paenibacillus sp. FSL H7-0331 NODE_9_length_295594_cov_1.35393_ID_12095, whole genome shotgun sequence.
AACAUGCUGUAACCGCGCGAAACAGGUCUAAGUAUGUGUGGGAGUUACGACACAUCACCUGAUGUAUAGGCGAGUCUGAGACAUGAG